AGAGCUCCCCGUGGACUCCUACCCGGUGCAACAUGGCCGCAACCUCGCCUCUGCGCGACUGCCAGGCCUGGAAGGAUGCGAGGCUCCCGCUCUCCACCACGAGCAACGAAGCCUGCAAGCUGUUUGAUGCCACGCUGACCCAGGUGUGCCUGCCGAGAGAGGCCGCAGCCCCUUCUGUGGAGGUCUAGG
rnacentral:sRNA from 1 species